rnacentral:rRNA from 1 species
GACGUAGGGCGCGAGCGUUGUCCGGAUUUAUUGGGCGUAAAGCGCGCGUAGGCGGUUAUCUAAGUCGGAUGUGAAAGCCCUCGGCUUAACUGAGGAAGUGCACCCGAAACUGGAUAGCUAGAGUACGAAAGAGGGUCGCGGAAUUCCCGGUGUAGAGGUGAAAUUCGUAGAUAUCGGGAGGAACACCGGUGGCGAAGGCGGCGACCUGGGUCGAGACUGACGCUGAGGCGCGAAAGCGUGGGGAGCAAACAGG